rnacentral:rRNA from 1 species
GACAGAGGAUGCAAGCGUUGUUCGGAUUCAUUGGGCGUAAAGGGUGCGUAGGUGGCGGGGUAAGUCAGGUGUGAAAUCUCGAGGCUCAACCUCGAAACUGCACUUGAUACUGCCUUGCUCGAGUACUGGAGAGGAGAUUGGAAUUUACGGUGUAGCAGUGAAAUGCGUAGAUAUCGUAAGGAAGACCAGUGGCGAAGGCGAAUCUCUGGACAGUUACUGACACUGAGGCACGAAGGCCAGGGGAGCAAACGGG